rnacentral:tRNA from 1 species
GUGGCUCAGUGGUAGAGUGCUUGCCUUGCAUGCAUGAGGCCCUGAGUUCAAUUCCUUAGC